UUGAAAGGGAAACGAUUGAAGUCAGUCGUACCAGCGGGAAAUCAACCUUUCGAGUGGGGGUUNGGAGUUUUGAAGAGUGUCAAAACCUUUGAGAUUUCAAAAUAUUCGCUCUUUUGGUGUACUUUCUCGUGGGUAGGUUAACAUCGAUUUUGAUCAUCAUAAAAAGAUUGGAGGAAUGUAGCUUCGAUCUUGUAUUGAAGUGUUAUAGCCUUUGGUAAAUGUGAUGAUUAGGAUCGAGGAUUGCAACGAAUACCCUUUUGGGCUAUCCGCCUGAUCUCUGAUACGUGGCCUUGGUAUCGAAAGCUUGCUUAUGGUAUUAAGGUAUUACGGUCAAAAGGUUAGAACGGAUUACAUUCGUUAAGGAUGUUGACGUA
rnacentral:rRNA from 1 species